rnacentral:tRNA from 1 species
UGCUGCAGCGAGAGAGCACCUCCAUGGUAAGGAGGGGGUCGACGGUUCGAGUCCGUCAGAGG